AACGAACGCUGGCGGCGCGCCUAAUACAUGCAAGUCGAGCGAGAAGACGUAGCAAUACGUUUGUAAAGCGGCGAACGGGUGAGGAAUACAUGGGUAACCUACCCUCGAGUGGGGAAUAACUAGCCGAAAGGUUAGCUAAUACCGCGUACGCUCCUUGGACUUCGGUUCAGGGAGGAAAGCGAUACCGUGGGUAUCGCGCUCUUGGAUGGGCUCAUGUCCUAUCAGCUUGUUGGUGAGGUA
rnacentral:rRNA from 1 species